rnacentral:rRNA from 1 species
UACGUAGGGUGCAAGCGUUAAUCGGAAUUACUGGGCGUAAAGCGUGCGCAGGCGGUGAUGUAAGACAGGUGUGAAAUCCCCGGGCUCAACUUGGGAACUGCAUUUGUGACUGCAUCGCUGGAGUGCGGCAGAGGGGGAUGGAAUUCCGCGUGUAGCAGUGAAAUGCGUAGAUAUGCGGAGGAACACCGAUGGCGAAGGCAAUCCCCUGGACCUGUACUGACGCUCAUGCACGAAAGCGUGGGGAGCAAACAGG